UACAGAGGUCUCAAGCGUUGUUCGGAUUCAUUGGGCGUAAAGGGUGCGUAGGCGGCGCGGUAAGUCGGGGUGUGAAAUCUCGGGGCUUAACUCCGAAACUGCAUUCGAUACUGCCGUGCUUGAGGACUGGAGAGGAGACUGGAAUUUACGGUGUAGCGGUGAAAAUGCGUAGAUAUCGUAAGGAAGACCAGUGGCGAAGGCGGGUCUCUGGACAGUUCCUGACGCUGAGGAGCGAAAGCAUGGGGAGCGAACAGG
rnacentral:rRNA from 1 species